rnacentral:rRNA from 1 species
AUUGAACGCUGGCGGCAGGCCUAACACAUGCAAGUCGAACGGUAACAGGAAGAAGCUUGCUUCUUUGCUGACGAGUGGCGGACGGGUGAGUAAUGUCUGGGAAACUGCCUGAUGGAGGGGGAUAACUACUGGAAACGGUAGCUAAUACCGCAUAACGUCGCAAGACCAAAGAGGGGGACCUUCGGGCCUCUUGCCAUCGGAUGUGCCCAGAUGGGAUUAGCUAGUAGGUGGGGUAACGGCUCACCUAGGCGACGAUCCCUAGCUGGUCUGAGAGGAUGACCGGCCACACUGGAACUGGGACACGGUCCAGACUCCUACGGGAGGCAGCAGUGGGGAAUAUUGCACAAUGGGCGCAAGCCUGAUGCAGCCAUGCCGCGUGUAUGAAGAAGGCCUUCGGGUUGUAAAGUACUUUCAGCGGGGAGGAAGGGAGUAAAGUUAAUACCUUGGCUCAUUGACGUUACCCGCAGAAGAAGCACCGGCUAACUCCGUG